UAAUAACAUAACUCUCUUUCUUAUCUUCUCCGACAUUCUUAAACCUUUGAAACAGAGUAAGUUGCGUGGAACAGAGUAUGAGAGAGCCAAUCGUCCACAAGUUGCGUGGAACAGAGUAUGAGAGAGCCAAUAGCCACUAGUAUGAGCUAUCCUUGUGCGUGGUGGGUGUUUGAUCCUAACGACCAGGAUAAUUGGGUGUGGCUUACAUUGUUCAAGUUGAUGCUGCUCCGUUAUAGCAAUUAAUUAUCUCCAACACUAUGAAGUUGAUAUUAGUAGUCGCAAGAAGAGGCCUAUAACCAAGGCCGGCCACUUUGACUCACAGUUUACUCAGAAGGUAAAGUCUCCUUUGGUCUGCAAAACAAAAAAAAGACAUGCAAGUCAAAGUCAAAGUUGAACAAGCGAAUAAUCCUCCAUUGACAAAGAAGUUGGUCAAGACCUCUGAGAAAAGAAUGUUCUUUUCGUUGAUUUGCAUAACCCCAGCUUUGAGUUUGCACUCCCACUUGUUCUUUCGCUUCUUCACCUACGCAAGUUGCAUGUUGUUGAAUAAAAUGGUUUUAAAACUUGAACAAUGUUCCAUCAUCAAUGAAGAAGAAAAGCUUACAUAAUCAAA